UGUGAACCCACCAAGAUUAUUUCUCCUGAAAAAGACAUGUCUUUCCAGUCGGCGGUCAGAUCCAGAGGCCCUCACGACGUUGUUCUGUCCGAGCCCUCCUCGCCCAGCCGCCUCCCCACGCCGGCGGUCAGAGCCAGAGGACCUCCCUCAUGGCAUUGCUCUGCUCCAUGCCGUUCUCGCGCCGGCGGCCGGCUUGGACAGAUCGGACAUGACGCGGCCCCAGUUCCAGGGGGAUCGGGAAGGACGCGCCUGAUGCGCCCAUCCCCGCCGCGAUUCCAGCGGGAUGAGCUAGGCAAGGAGAAGCUCGGCGGCCUGCCCCGCCUCCUUGCCGCCGCCAUUAAGACUCCAAGCCAUUUCUGUCCAGCCGGUUCAGCAUGUGCGCAUGCUACUGGUCUGCUCCGGGCUCUCCUCGUAGCGGCGGGCCGGCGGCCUAGGACGCAUCAGAAGCAGCCGUCCCUGCGGCGGCCCCUGUUCUAGCGGGAUGACCUCGGGAAUGAGAACCUCGCUGGCCUCCCUCUGCCUCCUCGGCGCCGCCAUCAAUUCCGCAAGGUUUCUUCUCGGCUGCCUUGGGAUCGAGCUGUUGUUUUCUUACUGAAGAUUACCUCCCACACACUCUCCAAUCUGAAGACUAGAACCUUCUUACUGAAGAGUACUUCCCAGGCACGCUCCAAUCUGAAGGUAUAUGCAAAUUUAAAUCUUUUACAGCAAAGCAUGUUGGCUCGCUUCCUUUUUUGUUGAAGUUCCACAAUAGUUCUUCUACACUUCCCUCUGUAAUUGUUCCAUGUAGAUUUUAGGUAAAGAGCACAAACUAUGGAUGCAUUAAUCGAUUAUUCUCGAGUUACUUCUGUUUGGUCGACAACAAAUCACUGAAACUUCAUAGUGUGCUGGAGAUUACGAAUAGAUAGAAAUUGUGAAGAUAAAUCUUUUUGUUGAACAUUCUCAUGCUACUUUUCCCAUUUAUUUGCUUUUAGGCACGUGAAGAGUUUCCUGGUGUCACAAGCUUACUCCAAAUACCACAAAUACAAGUGUGUAACGACUAUCUAGGUAGACAGCACAGAUCUAAAAAAAUCAAUUAAGGUCUAGCGAUUGAUCUAAUUUUCCUUAAUACAUUGUGUUUGUGCAAAACCUGAUUUUACAGCACAUGCUCAGCGGUGCUUCCGUUGGACUGCGCUUCAUGGGGCCGAAGCCUCCUGAUCAAGGUGCUUAUGCUUCAAGGUACAGCCUCCGCGCACUCUCUCAUAGCAAUCUCGAUGGAGUCAACCUCUCUUCCCGAUGUUCCUCAGUUGCUAUUUUUUCUAUCUCAAUUUCAAUUGCUCAUAAUUGCUACCUCGCCUUCAAAGUACUGGUUCUUAGUUAUGGUUGACCCUUUUGUGCAACAAAUUAUAUUGGAUUCGUUGCAGCAAUCACAGGUAGACCCACGCUUAAACAUGUGUCAGUUAAUUUACUUCUACUUUAAACUCUAAUGGCCCCUUAUUAUUAUUCUUUGAAUCUCAAUCUUAUAGUGGCUUGCAGAUAAAUCAACCUUGCGGUCAUGGUGAUGCUGAAGUCUCCCUUCAUCUCCAUCUUAUGCAUCACACAGCUGGCUCUCCGGUUAUUAUGAUGUUUUCUGCUUCUCCAUCUCGCAGUCAGCUUGCAGCCUAAGCUUUACAUAAUGCAGAAGCAUGCAUAGUUGCGCAUCAGAGAAGGCAAAAAUAAUAAUAAUCAGAGGUGCCUAGGUAUACUGUCGUGAAUGACAGCCCAAAAUAAAUAGCAGUAUGCUGCACAAAAUUGUUCCGCUUUUUAUUAUAGAAAAUAAGAUUAUGUGUAAACCCACAUUUUAUGUUUUUUCUAUGGAAUGCACAACAAUAGUUUCUACUAUGAUGCUAUCAUUGUUUUAAGUUUUACAAAUGGAUGAGAUGUCUCUAUCA